UACGAAGGGGGCUAGCGUUGUUCGGAAUCACUGGGCGUAAAGGGCGCGUAGGCGGCUUUGUAAGUCGGGGGUGAAAGCCUGUGGCUCAACCACAGAAUUGCCUUCGAUACUGCAUGGCUUGAGACCGGAAGAGGUUAGUGGAACUGCGAGUGUAGAGGUGAAAUUCGUAGAUAUUCGCAAGAACACCAGUGGCGAAGGCGGCUGACUGGUCCGGUUCUGACGCUGAGGCGCGGAAGCGUGGGGAGCAAACAGG
rnacentral:rRNA from 1 species